UGGGGGAUAUUGCACAAUGGGCGAAAGCCUGAUGCAGCGACGCCGCGAGGGGGAUGAAGGCCCUCGGGUUGUAAACUUCUUUUGCUCUGAACAAGGCAUGCCUUUGGGGUGUGUUGAGUGUAGGGGUUGAUUAGCGCCGGCUAACUACGUGCCAGCAGCCGCGGUAAUACGUAGGGCGCGAGCGUUGUCCGGAAUUAUUGGGCGUAAAGGGCUUGUAGGUGGCUGGUUGCGUCUGUCGUGAAAGCUCAUGGCUUAACUGUGGGUUUGCGGUGGGUACGGGCUGGCUUGAGUGCAGUAGGGGAGGCUGGAAUUCCUGGUGUAGCGGUGGAAUGCGCAGAUAUCAGGAGGAAUACCGGUGGCGAAGGCGGGUCUCUGGGCUGUUACUGACGCUGAGGAGCGAAAGCGUGGGGAGCGAACAGG
rnacentral:rRNA from 1 species